UAUUAUUAUCAUUAAAUUAUCCGAGAAAUAGAAAAACGGGACCCGAAAAGUAAGAAACCGGUGCCACGACAGGGAAUAGGAUGAACCCAAUGAAAAAGGACUCGAAAAAUAAAAUUGCUGGCGAAUAAACAGUAAAAUGGCCAAAAAAUAGUGGCUGAUAAGAUGUUAGACGGAGACGAGAUGGUAUUGUGGACAACGGUCCGCACGACCUAUAUUAAGCCAACGAAAAAAAAUAAAGACAUAAUAUACUACGAUGUCAUUGUGUCAAUAUAAUAUUUUAAUGUGAACGCGCCAAAUCGUAAAACUUAUGUCUGACGUUUUAGACUCCACUGUAGCGUAAGUUGUGUGGUAGAGAUAGGUGUAC